rnacentral:rRNA from 1 species
GACGAACGCUGGCGGCGUGCUUAACACAUGCAAGUCGAACGAAGUGGCGAACGGGUGAGUAACGUGUAAUCAACCUGCCCUUCAGAGGGGGACAACAGUUGGAAACGAAUGCUAAUACCGCAUACUGAAGGAGGGGAUUGCGUCGGAUUAGCUAGGUGGAGGGGUAACGGCCCACCAAGGCGAUGAUCAGUCGCCGGUCUUGGAGGAUGGACGGCCAAAUUGGGAAUGGGAACCGGCCCAGGCUCCUACGGGAGGCAGCAAUGGGGAAACUUCCGCAAUGGAGGAAAAUCUGACGGAGCAACGCCGCGUGAGUGAUAACGGCCUUCGGGGUGUAAAACUCUGUUAAUCGGGACGCGGUACCGGAAUAGAAAGCCACGGCUAACUACGUGCCAGCAGCCGCGGUAAUUC